CCCGCAACGAGCGCAACCCUUAUCCUUGUUUGCCAGCGAGUAAUGUCGGGAACUCCAGGGAGACUGCCGGUGAUAAACCGGAGGAAGGUGGGGACGACGUCAAGUCAUCAUGGCCCUUACGAGUAGGGCUACACACGUGCUACAAUGGCGCAUACAGAGGGCGGCCAACUUGCGAAAGUGAGCGAAUCCCAAAAAGUGCGUCGUAGUCCGGAUUGGAGUCUGCAACUCGACUCCAUGAAGUCGGAAUCGCUAGUAAUCGUGGAUCAGAAUGCCACGGUGAAUACGUUCCCGGGCCUUGUACACACCGCCCGUCACACCAUGGGAGUGGGCUGCAAAAGAAGUAGGUAGUUUAACCUUCGGGGGGACGCUUACCACUUUGUGGUUCAUGACUGGGGUGAAGUCGUAACAAGGUAGCGCUAGGGGAACCUGGCGCUGGAUCACCUCCUUAAACGAUGAU
rnacentral:rRNA from 1 species